UACGUAGGUGGCUAGCGUUGUCCGGAUUUAUUGGGCGUAAAGAGCGCGUAGGCGGUCGGUCAAGUCGGGUGUGAAAGCCCCCGGCUCAACUGGGGAGGGUCACGCGAUACUGUUCGACUCGAAGGCAGGAGAGGGGAGUGGAAUUCCCGGUGUAGUGGUGAAAUGCGUAGAUAUCGGGAGGAACACCAGUGGCGAAGGCGGCUUCCUGGGCCGGUUCUGACACUGAGGAGCGAAAGCGUGGGGAGCGAUCCGG
rnacentral:rRNA from 1 species